UGGCCUAGCAGCGCAGCUUCCUCUGAGCAAUGUCCUUCAGCCGAAGGAAGCCCAUCUGACACGGGCAAACAGGUCUCUCCCUUCUAACCUGAAACUCAACGAUCUUGUGCCAGAACCAAAAAGUAGAGCGAAUAGUGCUCCUAC